AGGGACUUUAACUGCAGAAACUGCAGUAGUCAACUGACAGCCAAGCCUGAGCCUCUGCUGCCACCCAGAGGCUGAUUCGGGCAAGGCAAGCAGGGAGGAGCUGUGUUUGGUGGCUAGCUUACAUUCCAAAGCAUGUGGCUGAGGUGAUGGUGUGCUGAUUGUGUGGCCUUCCAAGCAGGGACAAGACCAGCAUGGUGAAGUCGGAACUACCUAAGUCCCAUGUGUCACAGUGUAUCUUGUCACCGUCUCUGUUUCGGGGGCACUAGCAGCCUGUCUACAGAAGGCAGUCUGGGAGCAGAGGACAUAGAGGUCACCCCUGCAGGAGAAGCUGAGCCGAGCACAAAGGAUACAAGACAACCAGCAGGGCCUAGCACAAGAAGGAACGGGCAUGGACAAAAAGGAGCCCUAAGGAGGUACCCUAGAGUUCUAGGGGAACAGGGUGAGCCGAUCCCCAUCCUUCUGGGGUCCAGGCCUAGGAGACUGGAACUCCUGCUUAUCUCUGAUAAGCCUCCUUAGGGGAACAAGCUUUAGAAGUUUGUCCUGGUUAUCAGAGAAGCUCCCGCCAAAAUAUACUGUGUGACCUUGAGGAAGUUACCUGCGGUCUCUGAUCCUGACUCCUCCUCCAUGAAAUGAGACUUCACAUAAAUGCAAAUCAGUGCUACGUGUGAAGAAGCAUUAGAGCCUUGUGGGUGCAAGCCUCACUGCUGUGUGACUCUGAGCAGGUGACUUGGCCUCUCCGGCCUUCCGUUUCCUCGCUCCUGCUCUCCAUCUCUGUUCAGGCCGUGGCUUUCUAGCUCCUUCUGCAGACCAGCCUCUGCCUGGGCCUGAGUCCUCUCCGAGCCACUCAGGCCUCUGCCCUGCCCCCACCCAAACCCCUUGGAGUCCCAUUAAUUUUGAGAGGUUGUCUGUGUGGACAGCCUCCUGGCCCAGUCUCGGGGCUCUAAGAGCUGUGUAAUUAUCCACUUUGGAGCUGAGGGAAGGUGAUAAGCAGGCCCAGAGGAUCCUGCCCUCCCUGCCUCCCUGCCUUCUACUUCAGCCUAGCUUCCCCAGGGAAGCCAAUCGAUCGUGGAAGGGCCUCUGGAUAAGGGGGUGGGGGGCUUUGUUACUUUCUGGAAAGUCAGAGAGAGGGAAUGCAGGGCUCCCCCUCCAAUCUCCACCAAAUACAGAGGCCACAGGUAGGCCAGAGCAUCCAGUCCACAACAGGCUUCUGAGCCCCUGUCUCCACCUGGGAGCUUCCAGCUGUACUCCAGACCUGCUUGGUCAGCCCCUCUGGACAGCUCCAAGCAUGUUCCCCUUCAAGCCUAGAUGCACCACCCCCUUGCCACCCUUCUCCCUCCUGCCCCCCAAAACUCACUUCCUGAGGCAGCAGGCACCCAGGUCAUCCCCUUGACUAAACAGCCACCAAGUCCCCCAAGGCAUUCCUAAUGACCACCUAGUGCUCAGCUCCUGAGUCCUGCAGGUUACCAGACAGUGGGUCUCUCGGGGACAACUCCAAACCCUGCAAACUGAUUAUCACCUUCCCGCCCUCACCCCAGUCCCCCCUGCUUGUAGGUGACCACAAAACCCCCUUGCUAGUCAUCAAUACCAAAUUUCCCCAUCCCCCUCCUGCCCCACAUACAGCCCAGCUGUCCAAGCUGGGGCAGCCUCUGCCUGUACGUGAUGGGGCAAUCACGUUACCUCCGAGGCUCAGUCUUAUCUCUGCAGUAAGACUGAGCAAAGCCCUGAUGUACGGGCAGGAAGAACGGCCAAACGCACCUGGAGUCCGACUCAAAUGACUACAUGACCAGGCAAGUAGCAGAAAUGACAGCCUUGCAGGGACUAGAAAAUGAAGAGGAAUGCCCCCAGAAGGGGACAUCUGCUGUCACCUCGAGCUAUUGAUGGCACGUGUGAUAGUGUCCCCACCUUGCCAGAGCCUCCAGUCUUCCGGGAGCACCCCCUCCCCUGAAAACCUGUUUUCACCUGGAAUCGCCAGUUUUAAAUUAAACUGUUUCUUGCUCA